GCUGCAGUGACGGGAGCGGCCGUGUCGGCCAGACCCCGAGAGUCCGUGAGACCCCGGCCGGGGCCGCUCCGCUGCUGUCAGCCCUCGGGCCUCCCAGCCAGACUGGUUCUGAACCGAUUUAUCAGGGGGUUGCGGAGAGGGCCGGCGAAGCGCCAGGAAAUCCCCAGGCUGAGGAGGCGCGGGGGCGUUGCAGGAAGGGGGAAGGGAAAAGGCAGAAAACCUGGAGAAUGAAAGCGAACUUCCAGGGGCGUCCCCAGCCUCCUGCAAAAGGGCAAUUUGCUGAUCGCCCACUUCCUCGCAGUUACGGGAUAGAGAGAAUCAUCACUGAGUCAAGCUUCGGCUGCUUAGGGCGGUGGGAAAAGUCAUUAUCUAUAAUAACCCGCCGGAAAUUUUGAGGAGAGCUACUGACUUGGGGGUUUCAGUCAUCUGAGGCUGGCUUCCGCUGUCCCCUUAGUUGUGGGUGGUGAUUUGCUUACUAAUCAGAUGGGAGCGGAUUCUGAAAAGAACAUUUAUAUUUGGGAAUCAACUCAGCUCAGCAUCAGACAUUACGAAUACUGCAGUUGGUCACAUUUUACUAUGUGAAGGGCAGAAAGGGAGCCCAACAGUCUUCAUAAGCCAGACCUAGUCUCUAAGGUCACCGGCACAGACGCAGGGUCUAAAGCAGGAAAGAGGUGCGACUGGAAAGGAGGUUAGACAGGGCCCUGCGGGAAUGGAUCUGCCCGGAGCCCUCGCCUGGUUUUGCUUGAGACUCCGACAAGACUCCCAAUGCUUCUCUCCCCGACCCUAUCCCCACUCCCUCCAUCCUGGAAAAGCCAGUGAGCAAAGUUAACUCUUUCUUCUAAGAAACCCUGAGUGAAAUCUUGCUCUUCCUUUCUGCUAGAGUCCUGAAACCCUUUCGCUUCUCAUUGUGGGUUCACCAGCACGUGGUCUUCGGACACUGAGAGCACCUUCGCUCUCAGCUGUGAUCCUAGCUAGCCCAGACACCAGUCUGUACCCAAAGGAAGAGUAGGAAGUUGCAAAGGGAAGCUGGCUAACAAGGGCUUCUUCUGCCCUACUUGGCAAAGGCCCAUACGGGUGGCCUCCGUGGAUAUGGAGCUCCUUCAUUUUGUUCCAAAAAGAGCUCUGCCAGGCUUUACCAUUGCCCUGGAGGUGCACAGGCGCCCGUAUACUCGAGCACAACCAUGGGCUCACCCCAAGCGCGCACACCUGCACCCACGCGUAAGGAAGAACCACACAGCUAUCUCUGUCGGGGAAGAACACGAGGAGUGAAGUGCUUUAGGUGGAAACUCCUCACAUCUCCUUUCUUUCCUCUGCUCCCCCUCUCUGCCCCUGGUACUCCGGAUCCAAUCCUUGGCUUAGGAAUCCACUCAAGCCACGUCUGGCUGCUUUGUUCCAGAGGAGCGCAGCUCCGAGACUGCACUUCAGCGGUGCAGCCUCCCUCCAGGUCGGCGAGCGGCGCCAGAUCCGGGACUUCAGGGUCUCCGCGGGAGCUUAGGAGGCUCAGGAUCUGAGUUGGAGAGCUGGAAGGCCAAACUCCGAGCCGCUGAGGGACUGCGCAGGAAGACCACAGAAAUAAACCAAAGGGACACCGCGGACAGAUGUACCAGAGGACACCACUGAAGUCCAGGAGAAUCUCCACCAAAACCAUCAGCGUUUUCCUUGUAGCUUUCUGUCCCUCGAAGUGGAAAGUUGAGGUUUCUGAGAAGUCCACGGAGAGAACCUGCAGCAAACUGAAGCCACAGACUCCGAAGGCAUAGGGAGAAAAAAUGCUUCCAUCCCCCUUUCACUUUAAACUUGAUCGCUUCUGGGACUUCACUGGAGGGCGGUGGAGUUGCACCAACCUGGAGUACAGGCAGAUCCCAGCGAGCACUUCCAAGUACUUUAGGACGUGGGGGUGACUCUUUUUUCUUCAGGAUUGUCCCACUUGCCACCCUUUCCAGCUGAGCUGAUAGGAACCAAUGAAAGUCUAGGCGAUGAGGAUUUUCCGUUACCUCAGGGAUCAAAGUAUAAAAUGUUGAAUGAGAAACCCGAAGACCUUGCAUCGCUGGGCUGAAUAACUUGUUUUCUUUUUUAUGGUGUCCAGACUGAGUUCAUUUUUCUGAGGACCAAUGGUGAUAAGUGUUGGUCUGCCUAUCUUCCCAGAAUAAUCCAAGAUUUGGGGAAAGAAAGAGUAUUUUGCUAAUUUCAGGUAAUUAAUGGAGAUAUGAAUGUUUUUCAGUUAAAGUGAUGAAUAUCAAAAGAUUACCUGAGUUUCUGUUUAUAUUGUUAUUUAAUAUUUGAGUUUCUCUUUAAGGUAGUAAAAAAGUUAUGAUCUAGUUUUUUUUAAUGGCGUUAACAAUUAGUUUGCACAUCUUAUGCAUUUUAUUUACAUGGAUUAAAGUAUGUGGUAAGUUAUCACUUUAAUUCAUAAAUUUGUUUUAUAUGUAACUGAAGAAGCUUAUUGUAAAUUGGAAAUACCUUACCUUCAAAUUUCCUGGGUGAGAAAUCACUAUUGAGUUAUUUCUACUUUGAUUAUUUUUACUAAUAUAAUGUAAUAUAAGUUAUCUGACAGUUCAAGACUGGAAAUUGGUAUGAAGAAACAAGGAAAUACAAGUUUCUGAAAUGAAGGGAUAUCAUUCAAAACAAAUCUGAGUUAAACAGAAGAAAUGAAAUCCAAACAUUGACAUUUUUUUAAUCUACAUAGUUUUGAAAUAUAAAACGAAAUGUGCUUAUAUUAGGAGCAUGUUUCCAAUGUUGCAACUGACCUUGAACUCCUAGAACACAGUGUAUUUUAGCAACUAGAUCUCACCAAAAUAUAUAUUUCAACUGACUUCAAUACAGAGUUGAAGACCCCAGCAUAUUUCUGGCAUACAUAGGUAAACAGAUUUCUCAUUGGAACAAAAAGAACCAAAUGUAUUUAGUAUUUAAUCUUCUUUUGAGUUACAGAAAUAUUUUUUCUUGUUUCUUGAUUUUUUAAACUUGAUUUAUAUAAAACACAUUUCCUUUCCUUUCUUUCUGUAUCUCUGUUGUAG
rnacentral:lncRNA from 1 species